rnacentral:rRNA from 1 species
AGAUUGAACGCUGGCGGCAUGCCUAACACAUGCAAGUCGAACGGCAGCGCGGGUAGCAAUACCUGGCGGCGAGUGGCGGACGGGUGAGGAAUACAUAGGAAUCUACCCUGUCGUGGGGGAUAACGUAGGGAAACUUACGCUAAAUACCGCAUACGACCGAGAGGUGAAAGCGGCGGACCGCAAGGCGUCGCGCGGCUGGAUGAGCCUAUGUCCGAUUAGCUAGUUGGCGGGGUAAGAGCCCACCAAGGCGACGAUCGGUAGCUGGUCUGAGAGGAUGAUCAGCCACACUGGGACUGGAGACAGGCCCAGACUCCUACGGGAGGCAGCGAGUGGGGAAUAAUUGGACAAAUGGGCGCAAAGGCCCUGGAUCCCGAGCCGAAAUCGGCCGCGGUAGUGUCGAAAAGGAACGGGCCUUCGGGUUAGUAAAGUACACCGUUUUU